rnacentral:rRNA from 1 species
UGGGGGAUAUUGCACAAUGGGCGCAAGCCUGAUGCAGCGACGCCGCGUGGGGGAUGAAGGCCUUCGGGUUGUAAACUUCUUUUGCUCUGAACAAGGCGCACUUUGGGGUGUGUUGAGUGUAGGGGUUGAUUAGCGCCGGCUAACUACGUGCCAGCAGCCGCGGUAAUACGUAGGGCGCGAGCGUUGUCCGGAAUUAUUGGGCGUAAAGGGCUUGUAGGUGGCUGGUUGCGUCUGUCGUGAAAGCUCAUGGCUUAACUGUGGGUUUGCGGUGGGUACGGGCUGGCUUGAGUGCAGUAGGAGAGGCUGGAAUUCCUGGUGUAGCGGUGGAAUGCGCAGAUAUCAGGAGGAAUACCGGUGGCGAAGGCGGGUCUCUGGGCUGUUACUGACACUGAGGAGCGAAAGCAUGGGGAGCGAACAGG